CGGGUGAGCCUGAUCCAGCAAUGCCGCGUGAGUGAUGAAGGCCUUCAGGUUGUAAAGCUCUUUUGUCCGGGAAGAAAUGGCUCUGGUUAAUACCCGGGGUCCCUGACGGUACCGGGCCAACAACCCCCGGCAUACUACAUGCCAGCAGCCGCGGUAAUUA
rnacentral:rRNA from 1 species